rnacentral:lncRNA from 1 species
AUCAGUGCUCCAGCUAGAAUUCAAAAGGGGCAGGGUGCCAGUGGAGGGCAGGGCACUUUUUUAUGAUAGGAGAAGGCACUGCUCAUUUCUUUUGUCUACGUCCCUGCGUGUAUCACGAGUUCACAUAUUUUUUUACUGUAUAUUUUGUCAAUAAAGAUGCACAAGUUGUUGUUAUGAUUAUUUAUUCUAUAAAAUUUGCAUAAGAAAAGUCAUUCAUACUACAUGUUCAUAUAACAUGGCAAUACACAUUCAUACUAUUAACCAAAAGAGGCAAAAUAAACUUACUAUUCUCCCCCACCCCCUCUCCUUCCAAAAAGAAAGAACAUAAAACUAAACAUCUCAUAGUUUACCAUACAUGUACAUGGCAGAGUAGUUGUAUUUCAAAAUUUUCAUCUAGAGCUUGGCCCUCAAAACUUUUUUAAUUGUUUGUGUUUAGGAAUAUAUUAUUUAGUGUAGCUUCAUCAUGUUGAUUUGUGAUGAGAGUUUAACUACACACUUCCAUUUUUGUAAGUUGAUAGCUUGACACCAUUCAAACAAUUAAUUUAUUCAUAUUUCUUAAUUGAGAAUGUAUAAAACAUGGAUUGCCAAAAGUAUGAUUAUCAAAAAUAAAUUGC